ACAGACCGGAAUGGAGAAUGGCAAUAGCAUUUGGAAGGGAGUGUUUCUAUUUCAAUAAUUAGACAACAGCCGUCAGUCAAAAUACUGAUAUCCCCCUCGUUCACUUAAGUGGUAAGAAAUGCUUUAGGUGAACAUGCAUGCAGCAAUAAUUAUGUCUUAUUCAAUUGUUAUUGAUUCCUACUCCGUACUUGACUAUGAGAUAGAGGAAGGAUCUUAUAAUUGCUUAUAUAAGCGAAUUCAAAAUUCUAAGACAUAGGUUUCAUUAUGCGGGGCGUAGCGAAAGCAUUCAACCUUCUAGGACUAAGCCUAAGGCCUAUGGUCCCUCAAAAAAGAGAGAUCAAUCGUUCCUUACUUUACUGCAAGAAAGAACACAUUGAAAGCUACAAGCCCUUACACCAGGGAUGAAGUAGCUGCUUCGAUAGGACCAGGGACACUACCAGACUGAGUUGAGUCUGACACUAGGGAACUUGGAUUCAUAGUACGUGCUCUACGCGAUACACAGACAGAUAGAAUAGCCGGAGUACGGUAGGAAUGGACUGCUGCCAAGCGAGUGGAUUUAUGAACGAGCCAUUCAUUUCAUUUAAGUAGAACCGCCCCUUCUACGCCGCCUACUUACUUAAUAAUCAAUUGCUCGAGCACUUAUUUAUCUUUAUUUCAAGUAAUUUACUGUCUGCUUCGACUGCCCUCAAUUCAUUGAUUCGUAUUGCUUUCACUACUCCUACUGAUGACUUCGUGACUUUCCUCCUUCUAGGUGCUUCAAAUCUACGUUAUCAAUACGGAAGAGGGCCACCUUACAUGAAGCCCGCCCACCUUACGGGAAUGGUAGUAGGGUUGUCGAACCGUCGUAGUGAGCGGGGUGUGUUGACAGCUUUCACACGGGCAGGACUACGUGUUAAAGUCGAUGGCGAAGAAGAAGACAGGGCUUAUCGGGAAGAGGGGGUAGUAUGAGUAGGAGGUUUGAUUGAUUUCAUUCCUGAGUCUUCUUUCUUGCAUUCCAUCGUUACUUGCGGUGCAAUCUGGAAGUCUCAAAGCGAGAACUGAUUUCACUUCUUCCACUGAAUCCCAGGCUUGAGGGCUUCACCCAUUUUAUAACCCCGGUAAAUUAUUACUUUAUCAGUUUCUGUGCUCAUGAGAACUAACAACAGAUCGUCACCAGCGUCUGCAAGUACACAAAGGAACUGCUGAGUUAUGUAAAAGCCGGUUUCAUCCCUUGGUCAUUAUGGGGCAGUGUCAUAGUCUACACUGAGAACAGUGAAUUUCAUCUCAGGAACGAGAUCUAUAGUGGCAAGGCGGUAACCGCACAGCAUAAAGAACUCCCUAAGAGCAUGGAGUGAAUAUCCUACUCAUCAUCCUUGAAUUAGUAGCCAGCCCAAGCAUUGCCGUGUACUUUGCAAUAUCCGAAUGUGGGUCCGUUCAGUUGGAACACGACUUCAAAGCCUUCUGACGAAGGUGGAGAUAAGAUUACCCGAAUGAUAUAACGCGGAUAAAUAAAAGGAAUGAAGUUGGGAUCAGAAAUUAGUUGCAUUGGUGGUGUGGGUAACCAAAGCUGGGUGCGCGUAAAGAUAUUGGUAAGGACAAUCUCAUGCGUGGCAUCUGAUGCAGUGAUAAGGAACUCAUUUGAGGUGAGGAGAUUUCCGAGUUGAUCCAACUGUCCUAUCUUUCAAUUCGCUUAUUGAAUUUGUGGGCAAGGACGCAUAUCUUCAGCUGAGGAAAUCUUCAGUGGGCUAAGAGAUCCAGGGUUAAUCCCUGAUGUGGUCACAUAUAGAAUAUGAAAAUAUCAGGAUGCUGCGGCGAUUCCGCUAGAGCUUUUGAGCUGCAUGAAGAAAUGUCAAGUUGCUCCUCAGAAAAUUAGUAGAAUAGUUUCAUUGGCCUUCGUCAAUGGGACAAACGCUCCAGUGUAUGCGUUACAGUUACUGGGAAGCUAGCAUUUUUGCUUGUCAUGGAAUCAAGUCUAUUUGUUCGAAUGUUCUUUUUUUGGAAAAACCAACCACAAAAAAAGUCUCCCUUUCUCUUGGAGCAGAGCUUCAUCAUAAAAGUGGAGAGUCACAAUGAGAUUUAGUGGAAUGGAUAUGAAGGGUAUAAAUAUGCUAUUUGCUGCUAUUCCAUCUAUUUGUGCAUCAAGUCCGAAGAAGAUCUCAAUCUAUAAUGAAGAAAUGAUAGUAGCUCGUUGUUUUAUAGGCUUUCUCAUAUUAAGUCGGAAGAGUUUAGGUAAGACUUUCAAAGAAACUCUCGACGGGAGAAUCGAGUCUAUUCAGGAAUCAUUGCAGCAAUUCUUCAAUCCUAACGAAGUCAUUCUGGAGGAAUCCAAUGAACAACAACGAUUACUUAAUCUACGGAUCAGCUUGCGAAUUUGCAGCACCGUAAAAGUAGUAGAAUCAUUACCAGCGGCACGCUGUGCGCCUAAGUGCGAAAAGACAGUGCAAGCUUUGUUAUGCCGAAACCUAAAUGUCAAGUCAGCAACACUUCUAAAUGCCACUUCUUCCCGUCGCAUCCGUCUUCAGGACGAUAUAGUCACAGGUUUUCACUUUUCAGUGAGUGAAAGAUUAGUAUCCGGGUCUACAACUUUGGUAGAAGCUUCUACCGUAGAACAAAUUCGAGAGGCCUUCUUAUUAGAACCCAGAGACCUAAUUCGAGAAGGCUUUAUAGUCCUCAGAAAGGUGAGGGUGGGGGGUAUCCCGGGACCUGUGGAGACGGGGUGGGCCUGUAGCUCUGAGGAUUAGAGCACGUGGCUACGAACCACGGUGUCGGGGGUUCGAAUCCACUUCUGAGCGGGCUGGCGGCUCCACCGGGAGCGAGCCUACUGAAGGAAAGUUUUAUUGUUGAACUUCUUAUCCAAUAUUUAUCUUUUGUUUGGAAAAACCAAACCCACAAUCUUUAAGUCUCCCUUUCUCUUUUGGGAGCAGAGCUUCAAAAUCAAUCAAUCUUUUCCAUGAUCGAGUUUCUUCAUUAUGUGUACCAGACAGCGACGGAUAAUGCUAAGUUUUUUUCUAUAUUACUGAGUAUAAGUGUCGUUGCCUCUAUCUACCUACUACAAAUACUCCGCAAUUAUGUGCGGAUUCUAAAAUUAGUGGAGGAAAAUAAUAGAAAAGAGGGUAAACUGUUGGGGCUCUGCGUGGUACAUGAGUUUACCUACUCAUGGAGAAGAGGAGUCACCCUAAGACCCAUUCAUUUUGGCUCGAAAGAGCAAAAGUGCGGAGUAAAAGAAAAAGAAUCGGAAGGAGAAGUGUGAUAAGCUUUGAAUGGGAUGGAUAGUCAAGAAAAAAGGCACCUAAUCUUUACCGUCUCCACUGAGAUUUCAGACCAGAAAGGAGUAGACUCUAGUUUCAAUUGCGUAUAGAAAGAGAUUCGUCUUGUAAGAGCGAGCAGGUUGAAGCGCUUAGGCUACUUCAGCUAUAUGCUUAACACAUGCAAAUCUAACGAAGUGCUCCUGGACGACUCUUUCUUUGAGAUUCCGUAAGUAACCUAGUGCAUGUGCCUUUGAAGAAAAUGAAAUGAAAGCUUUUGAAGCGAAGAUUUUUAUAAAUCAUAGCCGGGAAUCAAUCAUGGGCAGAUGAAGUCCCCGUGCUGCUUUUCAAAAUAAGGCAGAAAUGCGUACAGGAAGGAUGGGCUCCGGGUCACUCUCUUCACUGAUGCUUCGAAGCUUCCACCUUUAACUCGUCAAAGCAAACCUACUGAAUGUUGAAUCUCGAUCGAUGUCAGAAACCAACCGUAGAAAGAGAGGUCGAAGCACCUGAUCACUCGUUCAGCUCGUUUUUCGCUCGUGCCUGUAUGAAUUGCAUCAGUCAUUGUGUUUUGGCGGUGGAGAAGUACAGAAGUAAACAGUGUGUUAGUAUUUAGUUGUGCGAAGCGUUGUUGACAAGACUUACUCAACUCACACCUGCUUCCGGUGACAACUACCACUCUCUUAUGAAUGGGAGGGUAGAGUACCAAGACAUAGGGAUUAGCCAGCGAAGGCGGUUUAUUUAGUACCAAAUAUACGUAUUUUGAAUUCUUUUCAGUGAUAAGGAAAACUGAAAAGCUUCUCAAACCAGAGUAGGAAUUCGAUCAAUCGCUAUCAAUGCCAGGAGGCAGAUCAAGAUUCAUGGGAACGAGAACCUUUUCCGAGAAGAGUCAAGCGAGGGAUAGGAUAGAUGAAUAGGUUUAAGCCUUUCUCCGCUUUUAGGGAUUCAUUUACAAUUUCUAAGGCUUCGUUUUUCUCCGGCAAGCAGCUAGGGAAGCAUUUAUUCCCAAGCGAUAGGGCUUAUAGUUCAGAUUGAUGCCUUAGUCCACUCGGAAGAUAGAACUAAUAAUGGAAAAAGAUAUGCUUAAGAACUCCAACAGUAAGUUGAUCAGUUACUAAUAGUAUAGUUCGGUAGGGACGGGAGACAAAACUGCCACUGAUGAGAAAGCGAUAAGAAGCCUGAAAGCGAUUCUUACACAAGAUACGAUGACAGGAAGAUCAGGAAUGGAACCGGAGAAUAUGAAAUUGGCUCUCGACCCAGGCCUUGCUUUGUUUACCUGUCCUAUCGUAUCGAAUAAGGUUUCCUAGCCUAGCCCAUCACGGUGUCUGCUACCGAAAGAGAGAAUAGGUCUAAGGGCAGCAUCUACUCGUUCAUCGCUUGCCUCACCUCGAAAGAGGCAUGGCUUCUCUCUUCACUCACUCGCCUGUUCGCCUGCUUCAAUAGCAUGGAAGAAGGUGUUCUAAGAGCAUAGUUUCACAUAUCUCUUGAUCAAUAAUUCACUUAUAGCUUAUAGAAAGUAGAAAGACUCUUAUUUCGAAGAUCCAUAUCUAAUCCCACUUCGUUCAUAGCGACCGCACUUCCCAUGCGCGCUCUACUCUUCACUCUUGCUCACCUCUCUUCUUCAACAAGGAUUUGCCGUUCCUAUCUGUUUUUCAAGGUAAAAGAAGGAGCCGGCCUGGGGCUGCUGUGCCCUUCCUAAUGGUUUCAUAGCUUUUGCGCGUAUCGUAGGAUUCGUACGUCUAUAAAACGUAGUCCUCUAUGGCUAUUCCUGAAUCGUGGGAAAAGGUAUGCGUAUACUUAAAUUGAAUUGAUCGUCCGGGUAUAGAAAUGUGUUCAGUCUCCUUUCUCUUUUGGGAGCAGAGCUGAAAAAGAUGGGAAAUUCCAAUCUUUAUGCAUAGACAACUACAUCCUUGGGUAAAAGGUAGACUCAAAGAGCAGCUCACUAACACAACCUCGACGAUUCAAUAGCCACGGUCGGACAUUGACUUUUUACACUCACUUAUCUACAUAUUGGCAAGUAGCAAGUAAUAUAUAUGCUAUGCUUAGUACUCGAAAAUGAGCUUAGCUUAAAAAUGGAAUAGGUGUAAACGUCCAGGAAAAGAUCUCUAGUUAACAAAACCAAUCCUAGACCUAGCAGAUAAGGCGGGUAAGAAGCAUACUACGCACCCUUGAUCCUUUCCCCUCGCUCUGAACCUGUGUCUGCCCUUUACCCUGCAGCCUGGAGGGGAACUUAGACUACUGGCACUUUAGAUGGCCGGGCACUCCUUAUUUGAACUCCAAAAAGCUGGAAAAAAGAGAAAAUCUCGGAUAGCCUAACGAGUUUUUUUGCCCUCGAAAAGGGAGCUACUAUCCCUGCAGGAUUUCCAGAAAACGGAAUGUACCUAGGGAACCCUAUUGAUCAGAUCAGAGACUGAACCUAGUGAUCUUUCUCCUGCUGGCAAGCAUCGAUACCUGUCUCCUAAGGAAUUGAUCUUCUCUUUCAUAUACCAGGAUAGGAUAUAACCUCGAAGGACUGCAAUUGGAAGGAAUUAGCACUCACCAUAAGCAACCGCAGAGAAGGAAAAUGACUGGCCUUAGACGGAGGAAAGAAAGAGGUAAAGAUACUAGCUUUUAAGAAUUACUGAUUUUGGCUUGCCCAAGAGGUCAGAUACUGAUAAAGGUUAUGGAUAGUGAAUAACUACUUAGGAAUAGGCAAAUACUCCGGAUAGAUAGGCAAGAACUAUUCCUUAUCCAUAGUCAAAUACAGCUUACGCAUAGUUUACUACAUCUCCAAAAGAGAACAGAGAUAACUACUUAGACUGGCGCUAUCAACUACUUGAACUCUAUUACAGUCAAAAUGGAAGAAGUAACUACUUAUGAUUAUGACAUACCUCUUUCAGUAGCAUCUACUACUUCAGAUAUUAUACUUUAGGCAAAAGGGAUUUAGGAAACUAAAGGAUAGUUAUUGACAGUAUAAUACUCUAGAAAGGGAAUAUGCGCAGAGAAAAGGGUUUUUCUUUCGCCCAAGGCUUUCCUUAGAUGACUAACUUGACUUUUCUUACUUAGACACUGGUGAAACUUCCUUUCCUAAACCUGCUUUCCUAAGCUUUUUUGAGAAACUCUAACUAGUCUUUUUUUUUCAAGGUAUCUCCAUAAGGUAUCCUAUCUAUUACUACUGGUAUUGUAAGAACUGCUAGGCCCUUUAGAUCUAUAUCUAUCUUACUAUCGAAAAGUGCUUCUACUCCUAAUAAGCAAAUUCGCUAUUUUCGUAUCAUUCCUUCCAUGCUCAAGGGCUAUUGGGCAUUCUCCUAACAGUACUAGGGUAUUUAAUACCAUGAUAGAAGUAUUAGGAUUAAGACUAAAAAGAAUACCAUUCAUACCGAACUAUCAAGAAUAAGGUGGAUUGGCUAAGGAGGCGGAAGUUCCCAGAGAAUAGGUCCCGGUCAAUCCCAAUCCCUCAUUCUGAGAAUAGUGAGAAAAGCAGUUACUUUAUCGUCUAAAUGUCGGAAAAAAGGAUCCUAUCCUCCAGCUGUCCUUCCCUGGAAAAUCGAGUUCUUUUUCGUCGUCUGUAUGAAAUAGAAAAAGUAGUCUGAAGACAAAGGUCGAGGGACAGAAAAUACUCCUCUAGGGAGCUCACCUAUUGAUUUUAGAAACCUAUUUAUUUUAUAAAUAAGUCUUGGUUCAUAGUCAUAGAAAGGAUAAGCCUGGAUUUCAUGCUUCUUACUCACUCUUUCAAUGCUAUGUCUUUAAGAGAUUGAGCUUUCCUAUGUCAAGGACGAGAUCUUGUGCCCUUCAUCGAUUGGAGCGGCAUUUAAUUUAAUGCAUGGACAUGGAACUGUUCUAAUCCCAUCAUACCUUGUGAUACACAUUUCUGGUAGGCGGGUAAAGAUGCCAGGGCGGAACAAAAAGAGUAAAGGAUUGGCAAGCAAGUAUCAAGCAGAAGUGGUCCACUUUUGGCAAUGUUGACUUGGGAUGUUUCUUUCCGCUUUGCGAAAAAGGAGUCAGUCUAUUAUACGAUUGAUAGCAGUAGCAGCCACCAGUAGAAGUGGUUCAUAGGUCAGCCGCUAAGCCUGGAAGUGAGAAGUUCUUUCUAGGCGAACUCUUUAGACUGGCUGGAUAGCGAGCACUGGCAUACGAGUCCGGGCUGCUGCUAGCGAAACAAAGUGCGAGGGAUGCCUAUAAAAUUUAUCCUAAAAGAUCUUAUUUGAGAUAGGUCAGAUUGGACUUAGUGGCCAACGUGCCGGGAUGGUAGAGUCAAUAUGGGAUGUGGAAUUCCAGGAAACGUUCUUAUCCGCGCUCACUGAUAAUGUGAACCUGGCCCUUAGUUUCCUCCAACUGAUUCCAGUUUUUUUGAGCCUUUUGAAGUCAGUCCUUAAUAGCUAAAAAUGCUUUGUGGGUUACCUUGCUUUAUUCGGAUAUGCUUCUUUUCGGACAGGAGGGGCUGAUUGACAUUCAGGCAAUGGCACAUGGAUUCUAUUGAGAAGGGCUGAGAUGCGGCGCCUUGAAUUAGGUCUCUAAUGUAAAGUUAAGUAAAGUAAAAAAAACUCUUCUUUAGACCAGAGGAUGGGUAUGAAUUUAGUUUCUUUAAUCGGUCUAGCCUGGGAAUGGUAAUUGGCAAUUUGCGGAGAUUCUAAAAGGGUAUGGUAUAGGUCCGGGGGUCACUUUAAUAGGGAGGUUGUAGCUGCUUUGGUGAAGGUGGCUCGUCAUGGGUUGAGCCGGUCGAUGUGCCGGGGCGGCUGAUUAUACCCUUGUUGGAAUUGAGGAACAUAACCCGGUGUGGGUUGGGAGGUGAAACACAGUCGAUCUUAUGAUGAUCCAAUCAAUUGAAAAGUGAUACGCUUUCUUGGUUUGGUAAAAGCGUUCUUAAGUUUCCGUUUUUAGACGUACAUCACGAUAUCUUUUUCUUCCUCAUUCUUUCUUCGUUAGGUUCAAGUCUGACGAGAAUAAAGAGAGAAUCCCAUUCUACAUGUCAAUACCGACAACAAUGAAAUUUAUAGUAAGAGGAAAAUCCGUCGACUUUCUAUUCAAAAUCGUGAGGGUUCAAGUCAAGUCCCUCUAUCCCCAAUAAAAAGCCCAUUUUACUUCCUAACUAUACUAUACUAUUGUACCAACCUCUAUUUUUCAUUAAUGGUUCAAACAAGAUUCACUAUCUUUCUUAUUCUACUCUUUCACAAACGGAUCCGAACUUACUUCUUUGGAUCUUAUCCCAUUCAUACAAAUGAACAUAUUAUAGUAUAGUAUAGGCAAGUAAUCCCUAUUAUUAAGUAAGUCAUUAUCAUUAUCCUGACAUUUACUAAGUCCAAUUUUAGAAUACUUUUUUCUUUUUUAGUCCCACAUAGAUACAAGUACGUACUCUACUAGGAUGAUGCACAAGAAAUGGUCAGGAUAGCUCAGUUGGUAGAGCAGAGGACUGAAAAUCCUCGUGUCACCAGUUCAAAUCUGGUUCCUGGCACAGAAAAAAGGAUCUACCGAAUAGGUAUUGAUACAAAUUACUCGAGAUGGAUUGGGAUACAUAUUCUAGAAUAAUAUAGAAGGAGUAUUAUUUUUUAAUCUAAAUCUAAAUCUAAGUAGAUAAAUCUCUAAAUAGAGACACUUCUUUUUCUUUAGGGUCAAAAUCUCGGGUUAUUUUCUUUUAAUAGAGUUGUAUCUCUCUGACCAAUUACAAGGAUAGAGGUGGGGAUACCACAAUCGGGUAGAUACAACUAAACUCAUGGAAAAUCCCAAUAAAUCCAUAAAUAGAACAACUGAAAAGAUACAAAACAUGGCAAACACUCCAUACUCCUCAUGGUCGGAUUAUUCUUCAAGGUCGGACUUACCCAAAACUACAGCAAUAUCAAACAUAUGUUGCAAACUGAUGAAGAGAGCAUUCUUAACAGCUUUGCUAAAAUCAACAUGUAUAAGCAAUCUUUACUUGCUAAGAAGCUGUGCGAUAGAGUUUUCCAUAAUGAAUAUAAAGUAUUACCACAAAUGGAAUACACCAAUGAGACUGCUUUCAGUUACUAUACUAUAUAGAUAGACCUAUAUGGAGUCUCGAAUGUAUAUGAUUUGAUAGAAGAGUUUCAUGAAUUGCCUCAUGUUUUAACAUGCUGCGGUCAAACCCUUAUUUACGACGGUGAGAUAUUAUCUCAAAAAAAUACAAACAUUCGUUUAGUAGCUAAAAAUGCAUGGGAGAGGUUAGGAGAUCUUAGAGACGAUCCAAUAAGAGAUCCUGUUAUUGAUACUAUAUAUGAAGGGGCAGACUAUCCCCAUAAUGAGUUUUUAUCACGAAAACUGAAGUGGGCCGAGGAUUGAAAGGUAUUUUGUUGGAUACAAUACAGUAUUUUCUAGUGCUAUAACGCAAGUUAGAACUUGCACUUUUAACAAAUCAAACAAUAAGUUUGUCUGGGGUAUGUUUAAUAUCCUUGUAUUAAUGGGGAUAGGAGUUGUAGUUUGGUACAGGUAUGUUCAGUGUGAUAACCCUUUUAUUAUCCCCCAAGAAAUAGCUCACCCAUUGGCAAAUUUGAAUGCUUUUAAGAACCCAGAAGCCGUUAUUAAUGGUUACAAGAGGGUGACUUUCUUGAUCAAUAAAGACAUAGUGAAUACUGUUCUUAUCUUAGUACAUUUAUGAAUGAUCCAACCUUUCCUUUACGGAGGUUUUUAACGUUAACCAAGCCGAGAACAUGGAUAAUAAUGUUGCUAUGAAGCGAGUGUCGGCACUGCCAUCAUGGUAGCAAGCUUUAUAGCUACCAAUGCGUUGGUUUUACCAACCCCAUAAGAUGUUUGGUAGAAUACAAUAAUGAUUAUUCAUAUAGGGUUCCAUGCAGAUUCAACAAUGACUGUUUCCCUUAUUCUUUUACAGUAAGAAUUUAGAAGAGGAUUUACAAGCGUAUUCUAAUAAAUUGAGCACACAUUUCGUUGAACGGUUGGUUUCCUGUAUAGUGAGUUCGAGUCUAGGUUACUGUACCUAAGAUGGAUUAUAUAGCCUAAGUCGGGGAACAGCUGAGUAGAUAUUAGCUUUAACCAUAGCAUCCUUGUGCAUCAAAUGGGUAGCAGUUUCAUACUGUGACCCUUUAUAGCUAUAAAUUCGUAGUGGUAGGCCGCGGGCUUUCCUGUUAAUCAACCCCCGAACUAGGUGUGUUAUCGAAAAGUAAUCUCUGUCUGGGUUAGACCCUUUUGGAGUAAGAGAAUGUAUAGUCGAGGAAGACAAAACAGAAGUGGUGAAAGCUGACAAACUAAAACCGUUAAAUAGUUUACUUCUUUUAUUAAGGAAAGACGAUGUCAACUGUUAGCUAUGAAUGUUUAAGGCAAUCAGGUUGAAGGGAUAAAUGUUCAACCUCAGGUAAUACUUUCUGUGGAAAGCAGUUGAGAUUGUGAUAAAGGUUGAGUAGUCAUUGGUUGGAGGGAUUCCAGUCUUUUAAGGAUAAAGAAUUCAGCUAUUUCAUUUCUAGGAGGCAUUUCUAUUUAGAUUUCAAAUAAAACCCUAACCUAAAGGCAGACUAAGACUAAAUACUCCCCUCCCACCAUUAAGUGAGAUAUUUGCCAACCCAUUCUUUAUUAAUCCCCGCCGCCCCCCUUGUCCUGUCCUGGGGGCUCCCCGGCCGGGGAGGCAAAGGGGAUUGCUAUCGUCACCCUUUCUCCCGGAAAAGAGAAAAAGUGACUAACUUUUUUUCUUUUCGGUUGGUUGGUCCAAAGAACGAGAGUCAGCUUCCUUAAGUCCGUUCUUCCUCAGUAGCUCAGUGGUAGAGCGGUCGGCUGUUAACUGACUGGUCGUAGGUUCGAAUCCUACUUGGGGAGAUUUGAUUCAUUCUGAAUUCGAAUUGAUAGUUAUCGCUUUUCUGACCCUGUCCUUCUCCUUUUUCUUUUCUAAAGACGCAGCAGAAUCGUCAAACGGGACAUAAAAAGUGGGAAGUUGAUUGUAGGAUUUCUAUUCCUCACUCUCGUAUAGGUGAACUUGGUUCGUUCAAUGAAAAGGAUCCACUGGGAAUGAAUGGGAAGACUGGGGUAGUAUCUUCAUUAGCCGGAAGGAAUUAGUCUCCACUAGCGUAAUUCGAAGAACGAACAAGAAAAGGCGUCACUGUUUAGGUAGGAGGAUGGAUGGAUGUGGUCCAAUGGCUAAAGCUCUGCCAGCUUCUUGUAGACUGGCAGUCUCCGAGAGGAACCUUAACCCCCCGGGGGGAGGCCGGGUGGGAUGGUAUACUUUUUUUUCGCCACAAGUGGGAACUCAGUCCUUGGUAAGACACAAGGGGGGAAGGAAGAUCUUCACUCAUUCAUUUUCAUUAAGUGCCUGCGGUGAGACGCGACCCACAACAAACGAAGGGGGUGGAGGGAGACCGAAGAAGGAACAAUUGUCUUGAAUGCUACGCUGGGAUCAGCAGCUUCCAGUGAAGACAAAAUGAGUCGGGCAGGAAGAGGAAGAUCGUGCGGGGAAAACGGGGUUCGAACCCGCGACUUCUGGCGUGACAGACCAGCACUCUAACCAACUGAGCUAUUUCCCCCUUUCGUAACUACUGUCGAUUCAACAGUCACCUACCGGUUACCUUUGUAACUAUACCAAAACCAAAGUAGCUGUACAACAGAAUGCCCUUCGCCUUUAGUACUUUUUUUUUCUUUUGACGACAAAGAAAUGGCUCUGCUCGCUUAGACUCGGGGCUCCGCGCUCUAUCAGCUAUCAGUUAGUUGGCGCUACGCGCGACUUCAGUUGACAAAAGCGAACAAGAUAGCGCUAGCGCCCGCGGAGAACUUUCGUUUGUUCGCCUUCUAAAAGGCCUACUGACCUGCCGGUGAAAAGCCGGUUACAAAAUAAAUAAUAAGACGUAGGUAGUGCAAAAGUACCAAAACAACUGAAGCCUACAUCCCACUACGUCUGGGUUCCCCCUUCCUAUGAACCUUGAGUCAGAGGUCUUACCUUGAGUCAAUAGGUAGGGUCAACUAUACCAAACCAAAGUGGAAGGGCCACUAUCUAAGCUAUUAGUGGGCUGGUUUGAACUAUUGAUUUACUGAAUCGAGUGAAGCUGUGUUGCGUAACAAGACUAUAGGUCGCCAAGGCCUAGAAGUACAAGUGGUCGCCCUAACGGCCACUCUCAAACUCACUACUUGAGUGACGAAAGUCACUUAGCUUCUUUAAUAGGGCUUGCCCUCCGGGGCCCCGGGAAGAGGAAGAAGGAGAUAGAGCAAAGGGUCUCCUCUUUCUGUCCGCUCUUCCCGGCAUGUAGAGAUCCGAUUGGGCUUAUAGUUUAAUUGGUUGAAACGUACCGCUCAUAACGGUGAUAUUGUAGGUUCGAGCCCUACUAAGCCCAUCUGACCUGCUUAAUCAAUGACUCCGGUAGUCACCUGAACCACUCUCUCGGAUAGCCCACAGCCUCUCUUCUGGAUGCGAAAGAAGAUUCGAUCAACGUACAAGGUUUGCCUUCUUGUGAUGUGAGAAGGAGGGUUCUUAAUUGUGUUCUCAGUGCAAAAGGAGUCUGGUUCAGUGAGUCUGAAGAGAGAGAAGAUCAGUAGAGCAGUUCGGGGCUUUGGGAUUUGCCUGAUCGACCCCUACCAGUGUAUUAAAUGAAGAUUGACAUUCGUAUGUACAAUUUACCGGUUCUUCCUCCCGAAUUGAGACCCAUUGUUUAUAGGUCUGGGGAUAAAGUAAAGUAUCGUAAAGUUAAGUUAAGUAUCGUAAAGUAGUUGACAAAGCAAGUAGGAAUAGGUCAUGUCACAGAUAGGCAAGUAUAGAAGCAGGAGAAGCUGAUAGACAUUUGUGAAUAGCAAGGCCAAGCUGUAUACAUAUAAGCAUUUUAAGGAGUUGUUUGUUGGCAUAUGGUUUGUUGUCACCACGGGAUGCUUAUUGUUGAGAAACAUAAAAAAGGUAGGCAUAUUGUUCAGUUCACGUUUAGGUCAGUAUAGAAGUAAAGCACGAGAUAGGUGUUUACAAGCUAGCUAGGGUUUCUAAUAGGUAUAAAAGGGUAAGCUAAUAACCAAGUAGUAGGGAUAGGUCAACGCAAGUCACGGGUAGCCAAGAGAGACGUAUUUAAGACUUUUAGUUCCAGGAUAGGCAGUCAUGUCAAGUAAAGUAUAGCUUAGAUAGUUCCUAUAGAAGUAUAGCUAGCCAAGUGACUAGGUUUAGCGGAGAUAGAAAUAGCGGGCGAGAUAUCAGGAGACAGGACUAGGACUUUGAACGAAGCAGGAAUCUUGUCCUUUCUUUCCGCCCACCCAACUAUAAUAAGAGUUAGAAAGCUCAAUCCAAGACAUGAAAGCGGAUAACCAAGGUAGUGUAGUCAUUGGUUGGAGGGAUUCGCCUACUGGUGGGAGGCUGGGAAAACAUAUUCAAUCUCGUAGUGAGGAAUGCAUUUGAAGAGGGAUGAAGGAGAGUUUCUGAUUGAACUCCACCACACUGUUUGAAUUAGAACUGGUUGCGGUUGCAGUUUGGGAAGGAGAGAAACCAUUGCUCCUAGGUUUAGGGCUCAAGAGGGCACAAUUUUCUUUUAUGGUGGUAUUCUUUUCUUUUCCUCUUACCUCCCGCUCCGUGGAUCUGUGCUACAGCUCUACCUAGGAUGACCUUCUAUUAUCAUGUUAUGUCCCUCAGCUCCCCAUGUGGAGUCACAACCUACGUGCUAUAUCUGGAACAUGAAAAGUGGUUUUCUAGAGCAGAUUAGAAUUUCUUCACCGUAUCGUAUGAGGUAGUACUAGCUUUCAUCUCAUCUGAUGUUCGCCUAGUCCUAAGCAGCAACAAAGAUUAGAUAAUCUGUAAUAUUGAAAAUGGAAAGAGAAGGGAUGCAAGGGUAUCCCUUCUCUUUCUUUUUUUCUUCUGCUAAUCCGGCUUGGCUUGGCCCUGCUCUUUACUGAACUUCAACAACAACCUGAUCCCUAUCUGUUAAUCCGAUUCGUGGCCCUGCUGCUUUCGUUGCUAGCACUUCCGUUUUCUUCGAAGGGCUGGCUUUCCUAUGAAUUGGAAUUCCUUGCUUCUUGCUAAAACCGUGCCUCCUUUCCGAGUUCCUGCUUUCAAACUAGUACCCACCCAGAUGAAAGGAGAGUACGGCUGAAGGCAGGGCCAGUCAGUGCAUUUUCUUGCUUUUUCACACUAGGAUGCUUUGCUUGACAAGGGCUAUCGUUGCAAGCGUUCCUCUUUCAAUUCAAAGUAUCACGAGCAAAGAACAUUUGUAACUAGUUUUCCUCCGUCCACCAUGGAAUGAAGAUGAUCAAAUCAAGGAUUUGAAAGGGAAGUAGGGUUUACUACUUGCCAACCAGGAAGGUAGGACUUACUCGGAUAGGGAGCUCGGGGAGCAAGCAGUAGAAAAGCAAAAUAGCGAAGACAGGGAAAUGGGGGAAGGGGAAGUUCUUGGUUGAGUGCGGUUGUUCUCCGAUAAUCCGGUUGAGAACUUUUCCAGCGAUGCAGAGGAGAGAUCAUUUACAAAGAAAGCUAUGACUAGGCUAGGAUAUUCUUCAUAAAGAUACUCUGGACAGGAUCAUCGAUUCGCUUCCAUGGUUGAAAGUAGUGGGACUGCCACAUAAUACAAUGAAAAUGAAUUCAUUCUCGGUUGAGCAGGAGAUUCUGAUCCAGAAGAUGCCGCAGAAGACUUUGAAACGGUUACAAAUGGAUUGGCUCACUCCGCUCUAGAUUUGGUUAUGCCAGCCAUAGGCAAAAGUGAGAAACCUCACCCUCGGGAGAAAGGAAUAUGCCUCCUACUAGAAGCGUUGGCCAAGGAAAUACCCCCGUAUGAGCUGCUUUCGGCAAUGGGUGCUGCGGUCAACUAGACCAAAGAGGAAGGGCUACUACCUCCAGCUCCAGUUAUUAGUGGGCUUUUUUCUCUAUGGGAAUACUUAAUCGAAUUCAGCCGUUUUUCCGAAGAAAGAAGACUCCUCUCUAUGGGGCAAGGCAUAGAAGUACAAGUGGGAAAACGAGGAAUGGGGCGUCAAACUGUUGGAAAUAAAUGGGUUAGUUAAGUGCAAAGCUGAUGGGUCUGUCGAUAGAUAGUUGGCUCGCUUAGUAGCAAAGGGAUCCGGGUAGGUAGAUUAGAAUGAGACAUUCGUUGAAAGAAAGGCCUAGUCUGACGCUUCCUAAUUGAAUGAACUGAUCGAACUUCUUUUCUUCACUCCAAAGCAAGGAGAUUAUAUGAUAAUCAGCACCAACGAUUUGAAGGCCAGGAUGAAGUAAUAUCCCUUACGGGAAUCGAACCCGUGUCUUCGACAUGAAAAGACGAUGUCCUAACCACUGGACGAAAGGGACCAAAAAGCAAUUCUUCAUAUACCUAAGAAAAGAGAAGAGAAUAGAAGUGGUUCCUUUUCUUUCUAUACGAAAUUCGACGAUUUCGUUUGUGUUCAUGUUGGCGAUUUCAGAUGUGAAUGAGGCCGGUCGUCUCCCCUUCCUACGGGUUCCCAGUGACACAUCAACCACGCCCCUUCCUUUUCUCCGAUCAUAAAUAACCUGAUCUCUUUCUUUGUCUUUCAUCCCCUUCUUUCUAAUUCAAAAAAGAAAGGGGGGGCGGUAAGGCGCCUAUGGUUUGACAGGCAGGCUCGCAACUUACAAAGGGCACUCGCUGCUCGCAGGCCUGCUCUUUCUAUUAUGAUUUCUAUGUCUAUGAAAGCUCCUUUGACUCCAGCCCCAUAAGCUAUUCUUUCACCAGCACCUACGAGACGACUAUUGCUAUUAUUUUGCAUUGCCAUUCUUCUGGAUACUUCGAGGGGAUCUGUAAAGAGAAGAAAUGGACAAAAAAAUGAGCUAAAGCCAAGCGAACAACUCGAGUGAAAAAGCCAGGAAAGAAAAGCUCUAACUUGAGUAAAAAAGCCAAUAACCAAGAUAAAAAAAGCUCGGCGAGCGAGUAGGUUAGGUAAAAGACACUAAGCUAAGAUUAAAGGUAAGUAACUAGUAUCGAUCCACGGGAGCAAGGAACAAGAAAGGUCUUGAGCUGCCAAGAAGAAUGUACCUGGGUCGGGAGCAGGGGUUGGUGGAACAACUGGACAAGCCUAAGUAUCUAGCUUUGCUCACCUUGUUGAAACUAGCCCCGUUGCAAUAGAGAAAUCCUUUCCCGUUGAGAAUGAACAGCUUUACCAUUCCACUGUCUUUGCUGGAACUGCUGUCCUCACUGAACUAACUGCCCGUUUCACUUGUCCCGUAGCUGGCUUGGAAUAAGAAAAGUCUUUUCUUCCUUCCCCGAAAGGAAGAGUUUUGGGCUUAAGGCAUAAUUGCUCUAUUGCGGCUACCCUUGCUAUGUUAUCCGAUGCUGUUCACAAAGCGGCUCUUACUAUAGCUAUAGACCCGGCUAUCUCCGAGUUGAAAUUGAACCCAGCCCCGUCCAUCAAUCCAGAGCUCAAGACAACCGCGAUACUUAAAUCGCUCAAAUAGCCAGCCACCUUAGACGGACACAGCCAUUAGAAGAAGAAACGGAAACUCGAUGGAGUACCAGAGAUCCUCGACAAAGAAAGUCCCGAUUCGAGGAACGGAAUACAUUUCCUUGAUUGAAAAGACCGGUAAGAGAAAAGAAAGUAAGCAUAGUCUUCUGAAAAGACCGGGAACCGUUUGAUUUUCCGUCAACGAAGAACAAAAAGUAACGCUGUGCAAACUCAUCUGAUCCCUGUUUGGGACUUCUUCUUCAUGUCACGAGCCGGAAUCGAACCGUAAAAUGAUCAUUCAUUCAAAGUAGACUUUUGUCAUAGGGCAAAGGAGCUUAGAAGGGUGAUGUAGGGAAGUCGUAAGGGAUGACCUUAGAUGUUGUAUGACGGAACGAUGACUUAAUGCUUCCAUUUUUGCUUGAGAAAUGACGUAGGUGAUAGACUCACUCCUUCUUUCCAUUUUUGAUUGAGAAAGCGUCUGGCCCAAAGAGGUCUACAGUAGUGCCUUGCGAGGUCGUAGACCCGGUAACCCAUCGUUCGCCUAAGAUCGAAAAUGCGAUGUGACAUCACUCUUCAUUCAGUUCAGUCCAUUUGCUUAACACAUGCAUGUCCAAAGAGAUGGCGAUGAUCUGUCAAAUCGAGAUUGUGUGGGUGUUCAGUGGAUCAAACCCUGUAUUAAUGGUUCUGGCAGGCUGCUGGCGUGGGACUUCUUUCGCUGGGCCCUUUGGACUCUAAAUCCUUCCGGAGUGAGUGGUUCGAUUCCACUCUCAGAACGAUCAAGUCAUUCCGAAAGAAAAUGCAAGUGAAACGAGACGAGAAUCAAAUAAAAUUGUAGGCUUAUUUCCUAAAAGCGGUGGUUCUCGCCUCCCUGUGCCGCGGGGUGGGCGACUGCGGUUCGAGUCUUUUUCGAUCGGGUAGAUCCAUACCAUAUGUUCCGGGGGGGAGACGAGGUGUAGCGCAGUCUGGUCAGCGCAUCUGUUUUGGGUACAGAGGGCCAUAGGUUCGAAUCCUGUCACCUUGAUGUGGUAUUCACAGGGGCCGAAGUGCAAAGCCCCGUAGCCUAUCCGUGGUCGGGAAGGCAGGCGAAAAGCACGCA